rnacentral:lncRNA from 1 species
CUAAUGAAGCUCGGCAACUACACAGCUUACGUGACAGCAUCAUAUGCUACGAUGUACUCUACAUCACUAACUGAGUAGACUAAAGUAUCCUGCUUGAAACUUUUUCAGCAAAUUACUCCUAUAAUUAGGGUAUGAUCCGACACUUUCUUGUUGUCAUCUUGAUUUGACUGAAAUCAAAAUAUCCACAUGUUUAAAGUCAGUAUUUCCAUAUUUGAGUCACUGGACUUUAGUAUUUUCCAAAUACUUAAGGAUUGUCCAUAAAAUCUUUCAGUGGUUCUUACUUAGAUCAGACUGGUACCUGCUCACUA